GAUGAACGCUGGCGGCGUGCCUAAUACAUGCAAGUCGAGCGAAUGGAUUAAGAGCUUGCUCUUAUGAAGUUAGCGGCGGACGGGUGAGUAACACGUGGGUAACCUGCCCAUAAGACUGGGAUAACUCCGGGAAACCGGGGCUAAUACCGGAUAACAUUUUGAACCGCAUGGUUCGAAAUUGAAAGGCGGCUUCGGCUGUCCCUUAUGGAUGGACCCGCGUCGCAUUAGCUAGUUGGUGAGGUAACGGCUCACCAAGGCAACGAUGCGUAGCCGGCCUGGAAGGGGGAUCGGCCACACUGGGACUGAGACACGGCCCAGACUCCUACGGGAGGCAGCAGUAGGGGAUCUUCCGCAAGGUACGAAAGUCUGACGGAGCAACGCCGCGUGAGUGAUGAAGGCUUUCGGGUCGUAAAACUCUGUUGUUAGGGAAGAACAAGUGCUAGUUGAAUAAGCUGGCACCUUGACGGUACCUAACCAGAAAGCCACGGCUAACUACGUGCCAGCAGCCGCGGUAA
rnacentral:rRNA from 1 species